rnacentral:rRNA from 1 species
UGGGGAAUAUUGGACAAUGGGCGAAAGCCUGAUCCAGCCAUGCCGCGUGUGUGAAGAAGGCCUUUUGGUUGUAAAGCACUUUAAGCGAGGAGGAGGAGCUUCAGGUUAAUACCCUGGAUGCUUGGACGUUACUCGCAGAAUAAGCACCGGCUAACUCUGUGCCAG